GACAGAGGGUGCAAACGUUGUUCGGAUUUACUGGGCGUAAAGCGCGUGUAGGCGGCUUUGCAAGUCGGAUGUGAAAGCCCACGGCUCAACCGUGGAAGUGCAUCCGAAACUGCAUGGCUCGAGUCUCGGAGAGGAAGGUGGAAUGCUUGGUGUAGAGGUGAAAUUCGUAGAUAUCGAGAGGAACACCGGCGGCGAAGGCGGCCAACUGGACGAAUACUGACGCUGAGACACGAAAGCGUGGGGAGCAAACAGG
rnacentral:rRNA from 1 species